rnacentral:rRNA from 1 species
GACGAACGCUGGCGGCGUGCCUAAUACAUGCAAGUCGAGCGAAGUUUUUCUGGUGCUUGCACCGGAAAAACUUAGCGGCGAACGGGUGAGUAACACGUAAAGAACCUGCCUCAUAGACUGGGACAACUAUUGGAAACGAUAGCUAAUACCGGAUAACAGCAUUAACUGCAUGGUUGAUGUUUGAAAGUUGGUUUUGCUAACACUAUGAGAUGGCUUUGCGGUGCAUUAGCUAGUUGGUGGGGUAAAGGCCUACCAAGGCGACGAUGCAUAGCCGACCUGAGAGGGUGAUCGGCCACACUGGGACUGAGACACGGCCCAGACUCCUACGGGAGGCAGCAGUAGGGAAUCUUCCGCAAUGGGCGAAAGCCUGACGGAGCAACGCCGCGUGAGUGAAGAAGGAUUUCGGUUCGUAAAGCUCUGUUGUUAGGGAAGAAUGAUUGUGUAGUAACUAUACACAGUAGAGACGGAC